UCUCGGCUUAUCACCGGCAGUCCCCUUAGAGUGCCCAACUAAAUGCUGGCAACUAAGGGCGAGGGUUGCGCUCGUUGCGGGACUUAACCCAACAUCUCACGACACGAGCUGACGACAGCCAUGCAGCACCUGUCUCCGGUCCAGCCGAACUGAAAGGCUCCAUCUCUGGUGCCCGCGACCGGGAUGUCAAAGGUUGGUAAGGUUCUGCGCGUUGCUUCGAAUUGAACCACAUGCUCCACCGCUUGUGCGGGCCCCCGUCAAUUCCUUUGAGUUUCAGCCUUGCGGCCGUACUCCCCAGGCGGGGCACUUAAUGCGUUAGCGCCGGCACCCAGGGGGUCGCUCCCCCAGGCACCAAGCAUUCAUCGUUUAAGGCCAGGACUAC
rnacentral:misc_RNA from 1 species